rnacentral:rRNA from 1 species
UACAGAGGUCUCAAGCGUUGUUCGGAUUCAUUGGGCGUAAAGGGUGCGUAGGUGGCGUGGUAAGUCGGGUGUGAAAUUUCGGAGCUUAACUCCGAAACUGCAUUCGAUACUGCUGCGCUUGAGGACUGGAGAGGAGACUGGAAUUUACGGUGUAGCAGUGAAAUGCGUAGAGAUCGUAAGGAAGACCAGUGGCGAAGGCGGGUCUCUGGACAGUUCCUGACACUGAGGCACGAAGGCCAGGGGAGCAAACGGG